UCCUACGGGAGGCAGCAGUGGGGAAUAUUGGACAAUGGGCCACAAGCCUGAUCCAGCAAUUCUGUGUGCACGAUGAAGGUCUUCGGAUCGUAAAGUGCUUUCAGUUGGGAAGAAGAAAGUGACGGUACCAACAGAAGAAGCGACGGCUAAAUACGUGCCAGCAGCCGCGGUAAUA
rnacentral:rRNA from 1 species